UAACUAUUUAUGACAUUCUAGGCACAUUGAGCACUGCUACUCUUGAAUUAUGUUAUCUAUGUACGUUGGACAUGGUGCCCCUAAUUGUACAGUAUGAAUGGCCAAUAUAGAUACGAGCCUCCAUCCGAGCUCUAUUUCCAGAUAGAGAAUGCUUCACCCUUUGUACGGCCUUUGAACAACGAACAUGAUCUACAGAGACUUGACGAAAUUCAGUUGGACAAAUUAAGGCCUGAAUUCAGAGCCGGGCUAGACACAUUGACAAGGUUUGUUUUUGAAAGAACAAGGCCGAAGCAAGUUGGGGCAACUAUGAUGACGAGCAACGCAUUCUUAUCUUGAUGCUCUAAAUAAAGGCGCGGUGCCUACCAUAUCGGCUUCAUGGCAGGAUUGUAAAAGGAAUUAAUGCAUAUAUGGAGGCAGAGUUGCAAUGUUCAAAUACUGCAAUGCACAUGAUGAGGUCCCAGUUCUACUUCAUGUCAUUGUCCUCCUUCUUUUCAACUUCCAGUCGUUUUACCAGUAUCUCCUACAUCACCUGUCACACAACCUAGCCUACAAAACCAAUCGGCAUCUUCUUCACCAAUGCAGCCUUCAGCUGCUACUCCUCCUCCUCGCCCUCAGCACAUGUUGCCUCUCCUGAAUGAAGCCAUGGAAAGGAAGCUGAGAAUAGCUUGCCAUGCAAGUGAUGCUAAUAUUGAUAAUGUUCUGAAGGUUCUUGAUGGUCUUCUAUUCUACUAUGAACCAGCAAGUCACGGUCCAGAAAAUGGCAGAAACUGACCAUUUUCUUACAAAGGGGGUUUGUCUAUUGUCUUUAUUUUGCUUUUUUAUUAUUAUUAUUUAUUAAUGUAUGAGUGUGUAUUAAUAUGUAUUGCAUGCAAUCCAAAUUCACAAUUUGGAAGGUCCAAUACUUAACCUUGCCAAGAGACUGAUUGGCCAAGCUGGAUCAGAGAAGAGUACUCUCAUGUUGAGAUGCCGCUCAAUAGAAGAUAAGUUGGGGUUACUGAACCAGAAGCUGGAGUCUAGUAAGAAGUCUGAAUAUUUGAAGUGUUGUGAGGAUGCUGUCAAUGACAAGAAGAAGUUAGUUGAUGAAUCUAUAGGCUGCAUAAAUAACUUAGAGAGUAAUUCCAGCUCACUGGGUGAGAAAUGUUCUAGCUUAGUUAAAACAUUGGAUUUUGCAAAAGGAUUUUAGAGAAAAGAAAGUACAAACAGGUCAUAUCAAAGCAGAAGGCUGAGGAAGAUCAAGCUAGUUCUGAAAUUGCAAUUCUUAAGUCCCGAUGCAGUGCUGAUGAAGCAAGGCUAGCUGCUGCUCGGGAAGAAGCUCAGUCUGCUCAAGGGGAGGCUCAAGAGUGGAAACGCAAGUAUGACAUUGCUUUUAGAGAAGCAAAAGCUGCUCUAGAGAAAGCUGCAAUUGUCCAAGAACGUCGAAUAAAGAAACACAAAAGAGUGAAGAUGCUUUGAGGGAAGAAUUCGCUAGUAGUUUGGCUGAUAAGACUGCCAAAGCAAAAGUAGACAGUUAUGAUUCUGAAAUAUCAUCGCUGAAGCUUGAAAUCAAGGACUUAAGUCAAAAAUUAGAAGCUGCAAAUGCAAAGGCCCAUUUAUUUGAGAGAGAAAAAAAGAUAUUGGAGCAGGAGAAGAUCUUUCUGGGGCAGAAAUGCGAAUCUGAAAUAAAAAGACUUGACGAAGUCAAAGAAACGUGUAAAAUCGCUGAAAAAGAAGCCACAUGAGUGACUGAUAUUGCCGAUAAAGCACGAGCUCAAGCGGAUGUUGCUCAAAAGGAAAAGAGUGAGAUGCAAAAGUUGGCAAUGGAAAGAUUGGCCCAAAUUGAGAGGGCUGAGAGGCAUAUUGAAAGUUUGCAAAGGGAAAAAAGAGACUCGGAUGAUGAGUUAGAGAGAAUUCGUGUAUCAGAGAUGGGAGCUCAUUUGAAAGUUGCUCUUCUGGAGGCAAGAGUUGAAGAAAGAGAGAAGGAAAUAGAAUCAUUAUUAAAAUCCAAUAAUGAGCAGAGAACUAGUACUGUUCACGUCCUUCAAGGCCUUCUGGACAGUGAGCGUGCAGCACACGCAGAUGCAAACAAUAGGGCAGACUCCCUGUCUCUUCAGCUACAAGCUGCACAGGUAAAACUUGAUUCACUCCAGCAAGAGUUGACUUCUGUUCGGCUGAAUGAAACAGCACUGGAUAGCAAGCUAAGAGUGCUUCUCACGGGAAAUGCUCAAGGGUAGAUGACUAUGAAAUGGGCAUGGACUCUGUUCAAGAGUAAAUAAGAGGUCUAGAAGUACUACUAGCCCUCUAAAGUACACACAAGCAGAAGAUGGUGGUUCGGUAUUCAAGGGAGAUGAGGAUACCUGCAGUCAGCAAACUAACUGGGAAGACUAUAGAAAGUUCACUGUCACAAAAAUUAAGCAAGAACUCACAAAAUAUAAUUUUGGUGCCCGAGUGCUGGAUAUGAGAGCUGGUGCUAGCAAAAGAGAAUGGCUUGAACUCUACGAGAGUUGUAUGCUUCAGAAGUCGUGACCAGUUGAAGCUCUUGUGCAGUAGGAGGGUAAUGCGUAAUCUACACAGGUAGUUGUUGCCGUGGAUUAGUCCAGGACCUAGCAAGAGCUUUAAGUUCUCGAUGGUUUGGUUUUAUGAUAGAUCUCACCAGAAUUGGUACAAAAACUAUCUGUUAUUCUAUUGUAACUACAAAAUGGUUGGAAUAUUAGUGCUUUAGGCUACUGACAUCAGCUACUCGUUAGGUGACGUACUGUGUGGUCUAUCAUGAGCCUGUACGACGAUCUAUUAUGUGUUUGUCAGCCAACCUCUACCUCUCUGUGUUUUGUGGGCAAAAACUUGUUAGUAGUGUAUUGCUGUUUGAAGAAUGAAUUUAUAAGUCCAGGUGUGGUUAUGUUAUUGAAUAUUUCAACAACUCGAAGUCAGUAUUUUGCAUUAAUCUGAUUUGGAAAUUGAACACAAAUUGCGGGAAGGUGAAACUGAUGCCGAUGGUGAGGAGGAGGAUGUCAAAUCAAUGGGGAAGUCAACCACACCCCAUAUGUUCUGCAAAAACCCUUACUGCUUUAGAUACUAGCAGUCACGGAGGCUUCUCUGUCCCUCGUCGUGCUGCUGAAGAUUGCUUUCCUCCCCUGGAUUACAAUCAACAAAGGCCUUCACAAGAACUC